GAGUUGGACAUGGACAUGGAGGUGGAGUUGGACAUGGAGGUGGAGGAAAGCCCAAUGACCCUUUUUCAGAAAUAUUACGGGAUUUAAAUAAAGAUGUGGAAAAUAUCAUUGCAAAAAGCCAGGAACAAGCACAACCAAUAAAUGACCCUAAUAUACAGAAAUUACGGGAUUUAAAUAAACAGCUGGAAAAUAUCGCUGCAAAAAGCUGGGAACAAAUACAAUCUGAUAUAAACAAACCAGCACAACCAACAAAUCCGUCAGGAUCAAAUUCCCUAUCCUCUGGACCACAAGGAGGAUCGAGUUACAGUUAUGGAGCGGGAAUGGGGUA